UACGUAGGGGGCGAGCGUUGUCCGGAUUUAUUGGGCGUAAAGAGCGUGUAGGCGGCCAGGUAGGUCUGCUGUGAAAACUCGAGGCUCAACCUCGAGACGUCGGCGGAAACCAUCUGGCUAGAGUCCGGAAGAGGAGAGUGGAAUUCCUGGUGUAGCGGUGAAAUGCGCAGAUAUCAGGAAGAACACCCGUGGCGAAGCCGGCUCUCUGGGACGGUACUGACGCUGAGACGCGAAAGCGUGGGGAGCGAACAGG
rnacentral:rRNA from 1 species